GACGAACGUUGGCGGCGUGCCUAAUGCAUGCAAGUCGAACGAGGGACCUCCUCCGGGUAACCGGAAGAGGUCACCUAGUGGCGAACGGGUGAGUAACACGUGAGAAACCUGCCCCGGAGACCGGAAUAGCCCAGGGAAACUUGGAUUAAUGCCGGAUAUCCUCGGAUGGUCGCAUGGUCGACCGAGGAAAAGUCCGCUGCUCCGGGAUGGUCUCGCGGCCUAUCAGCUUGUGGGUGAGGUGACGGCUCACCAAGGCGACGACGGGUAGCUGGGCUGAGAGGACGAUCAGCCACACUGGGACUGAGACACGGCCCAGGCUCCUGCGGGAGGCAGCAGCAGGGAAUUUUGCACAAUGGACGAAAGUCUGAUGCAGCGACGCCGCGUGGGGGAUGAAGGCCUUCGGGUUGUAAACCCCUUUCAGGAGGGACGAAGCGAAAGUGACGGUACCUCCAGAAGAAGCCCCGGCCAACUACGUGCCAGCCGCCGCAGUAAUAC
rnacentral:rRNA from 1 species